rnacentral:rRNA from 1 species
AUGGUAGUAGCGAAUGUGGAUGUAUACAAAAUAAAAAAGGGUAGAUUACGCCACCAAAAAGAGCUAAAAUUGUCACAUCUGAUCAUGUCCGAUCCGAGAUGCAAAACUGCAGCGGACGGUACGUUGCCAUUUGGUUUGAGGCCACACUAUUUACAAACAAAACAGAAAAGGAAAAAGAAAAAGAAAAACCAAAACAAGCGGACAGAGCAAAACCCACAUACGAGCACAAGUGCACAACAAACACCAGUGAGAGGUGAGAGAUCAAGCUACUGCUACUGCUCUAACGGGCUACAUAGUACAGUUGGUGUUCAUCCUAGAUCAAGCCACUCCGAUCCAUGGAUCCAUCCUUUGGAGAGAAACACAAAAACAAGAAGCCUCUCCAUGGAUCACAGCAUGCACACGGGCGGAUCUGAGCAAGAAAGCUAG